rnacentral:rRNA from 1 species
AUUGAACGCUGGCGGCAUGCCUAACACAUGCAAGUCGAACGAGUGGCGGACGGGUGAGUAAUGUCUGGGAAACUGCCUGCUGGAGGGGGAUAACUACUGGAAACGGUAGCUAAUACCGCAUACCAUCGGAUGUGCCCAGAUGGGAUUAGCUAGUAGGUGGGGUAAACGCUCACCUAGGCGACGAUCCCUAGCUGGUCUGAGAGGAUGACCAGCCACCCUGGAGCUGAGACACGGUCCAGACUCCUACGGGAGGCAGCAGUGGGGAAUAGGGGACAAUGGGGGCAAGCCUGAUACAGCCAUGCCGCGUGUAUGAAGAAGGCCUUGGGGUUGUAAAGAACUUUCAGCGGGGAGGCGUUACCCGCAGAAGAAGCACCGGCUAACUCCGUGCCAGCAGCCGCGGUAAUAC